AAUAAGUAUAGCCAUAGAUAUCCGUGCCCAACAUUUGACCGUCCGUUUUAUUUAAAAAAUUUAUAAAAAAUUUAAAAAUAUUUAGUCACACAUAAAGUAUUAUUCAUGUUUUAUCAUUUAAUAGCAAUAAAAAUACUAAUUAUAAAAAAAUUUCAAAUAAGACGAACGGUUAAACGUUGAACGUGAAUAGUGCAAAACUAUACUUAUU
rnacentral:pre_miRNA from 1 species